rnacentral:rRNA from 1 species
CUCGUAGGCGGUUCGUCGCGUCCGGUGUGAAAGUCCAUCGCUUAACGGUGGAUCUGCGCCGGGUACGGGCGGGCUGGGGUGCGGUAGGGGAGACUGGAAUUCCCGGUGUAACGGUGGAAUGUGUAGAUAUCGGGAAGAACACCAAUGGCGAAGGCAGGUCUCUGGGCCGUUACUGACGCUGAGGAGCGAAAGCGUGGGGAGCGAACA